rnacentral:rRNA from 1 species
AGUUACAUGUACAGGCGAGGUUAAGUAUUAAAGAUACGGAGCCGAAGGGAAACCAAGUCUUAAUAGGGCGAUGAAGUCAGUAUGUGUAGACCCGAAACCGGGUGAUCUAUCCAUGUCCAGGUUGAAGUUCGCGUAAAAGUGAAUGGAGGACCGAACGCACAUCCGUUGAAAAGGGUGCCGAUGAGGUGUGGAUAGGGGAGAAAUUCCAAUCGAACCCGGAGAUAGCUGGUUCUCCUCGAAAUAGUUUUAGGACUAGCCUCGUUAUUAGUCUACCGGAGGUAGAGCACUGAAUUUUUGCGGGGGCGUCAAAGCCUACCAAGAGAUAUCAAACUCCGAAUGCCGGCUAGAUGAUUGACGGGAGUCAGACUACACGAGAUAAGUUGGGUAGUCAAAAGGGAAAGAGCCCAGACCUACGGCUAAGGUCCCAAAGUGUGUGUUAAGUGGAAAAGGAUGUGGGAUUUCGAAGACAGCUAGGAUGUUGGCUUAGAAGCAGCCAUACAUUAAAAGAGUGCGUAACAGCUCACUAGUCGAGAGGUCCUGCGCCGAAAAUGUCCGGGGCUAAACACAACACCGAAGCCUAGGAAUGUAUUAUAUACAUUGGUAGAGGAGCAUUCUUAGAGGCGUAGAAGCCAUACCGGAAGGAAUGGUGGAGUAAUAAGAAGAGAGAAUGCCGGAAUGAGUAGCGAGAGUGAGGUGAGAAUCCUCACGGCCAAAUACCCAAGGAUUCCAGAGUAAAGCUGAUCUGCUCUGGGUAAGUCGGGACCUAAGGCGAGGGAGAGAUCCGUAGUCGAUGGACAUCAGGUAUAGAAUCCUGAACUGCAUAUAAUCAGAAAUGUGGGGACACAGAAACUAAAGUCGAACCCGGGAGAGCAAAGACCGGGAUAAGCGAGGUAGCAGGUGGUAGGAAAAGCCGCCACGAAAUGCGAAUGCGUAAUAUGUAGCGAAGAAAAGUAGCGAAGUCGAAUAGGGAGCUGUCAAGAAAAGCCGCUAUAGCGUUAUAUGUACCCGUACCGAAAACCGACACAGGUGGGAGGGGAGAGAAUCCUAAGGCCGGCGGGAGAAGCAUUGUUAAGGAACUCGGCAAAAUGACCCCGUAACUUCGGGAGAAGGGGUACCGAAAGGUCACAGAAAAAAGGCUCAAGCAACUGUUUAGCAAAAACACAGGUCUAUGCGAAACCGCAAGGUGAAGUAUAUGGGCUGACGCCUGCCCGGUGCCGGAAGGUUAAGAGGAGAAGUCAGGAAACGAAGCUUUGAAUUGAAGCCCCGGUAAACGGCGGCCGUAACUAUAACGGUCCUAAGGUAGCGAAAUUCCUUGUCGGGU